rnacentral:tRNA from 1 species
AUAGAGCGUUUGGUUGCGGUCCAAAAGGUUGCAGGUUCGAUUCCUGCCGGGGACGCCA